UGGGCUGUUCGGGGCCAUGAGGAGUUUGUUACGGAGAGUACUGGAGUGGGUCGUGGCCAUCGCCGUGGCCUGCCACGUGGAGCCUGCUGUGGAGAGUGGAGUGAUGUUCGUUGUCGUGACUUGCCAAAGCAUGAUGGAGCCGCACGGGAUCCGUUAUGGAAAGUGGAGUAGAGUCGCAGCCAUUACUGUGGCCUGCUAGGGAGUCCAGG
rnacentral:lncRNA from 1 species